UACGUAGGGCGCAAGCGUUGUCCGGAAUUAUUGGGCGUAAAGAGCUCGUAGGUGGUUGGUCGCGUCUGCCGUGAAAACCCAUGGCUUAACUGUGGGCUUGCGGUGGAUACGGGCCGACUUGAGGUAGGUAGGGGAGAAUGGAAUUCCCGGUGUAGCGGUGAAAUGCGCAGAUAUCGGGAGGAACACCGGUGGCGAAGGCGGUUCUCUGGGCCAUUACUGACGCUGAGGAGCGAAAGCGUGGGGAGCGAACAGG
rnacentral:rRNA from 1 species